UUGCUGACUUUUCAGGGUCCAGCGGGGC
rnacentral:sRNA from 1 species